GGUUCAGGAUGAACGCUAGCGGCAGGCUUAACACAUGCAAGUCGAGGGGCAUCGGGAGUAGCAAUACUUGCCGGCGACCGGCGCAAGGGUGCGUAACGCGUGAGCAACAUGCCCGUAUCAGGGGGAUAAUCCAUGGAAACGUGGUCUAAUACCCCAUAGUAAUUAUGUAAGGCAUCUUAUAUAAUUUAAAGCUUUGGUGGAUACGGAUUGGCUCGCGUGACAUUAGCUGGAUGGUAAGGUAACGGCUUACCAUGGCUACGAUGUCUAGGGGUUCUGAGAGGAAGGUCCCCCACACUGGAACUGAGACACGGUCCAGACUCCUACGGGAGGCAGCAGUGAGGAAUAUUGGACAAUGGAUGGAAAUCUGAUCCAGCCAUGCCGCGUGCAAGGAAGACGGCCCUAUGGGUUGUAAACUGCUUUUGUAUGGGAGCAAUAAGGGCUACGUGUAGUCCGAUGAGAGUACCAUACGAAUAAGCACCGGCUAACUCCGUGCCAGCCGCGGC
rnacentral:rRNA from 1 species